rnacentral:tRNA from 2 species
GCGCUGUUAGCUCAAUUGGAUAGAGCGUCGGUCUACGGAACCGAAGGUUGGGGAUUCGAACUCCUCACGGCGCGCCA